UACGUAGGGGGCAAGCGUUGUCCGGAAUCAUUGGGCGUAAAGAGCGUGUAGGCGGCUCGGUAAGUCCGCUGUGAAAGUCCAGGGCUCAACCCUGGAAUGCCGGUGGAAACUGUCGAGCUAGAGUCCGGAAGAGGCGAGUGGAAUUCCUGGUGUAGCGGUGAAAUGCGCAGAUAUCAGGAGGGACACCAAUGGCGAAGGCAGCUCGCUGGGACGGUACUGACGCUGAGACGCGAAAGCGUGGGGAGCAAACAGG
rnacentral:rRNA from 1 species